rnacentral:rRNA from 1 species
UAUUCCUACGGGGGCAGCAGUGGGGAAUAUUGCGCAAUGGCCGGAAGGCUGAACCAGCCAAGCCCCGUGAGGGAGGAAGGCGCAGAGCGUCGCAGACCUCUUUUGCCGGGGGACAAAAGGCCGGACUCGUCCGGUCCUGAGGGUACCCGGAGAAAAAGCAUCGGCUAACUCCGUGCCAGCAGCCGCGGUAAUACGGAGGAUGCGAGCGUUAUCCGGAUUCAUUGGGUUUAAAGGGUGCGCAGGCGGGCCUUUAAGCCGGCGGUG